rnacentral:rRNA from 1 species
ACGUAGGGUGCGAGCGUUGUCCGGAAUUAUUGGGCGUAAAGAGCUCGUAGGUGGUUUGUCGCGUUGUUCGUGAAAACUCACAGCUUAACUGUGGGCGUGCGGGCGAUACGGGCAGACUGGAGUACUGCAGGGGAGACUGGAAUUCCUGGUGUAGCGGUGGAAUGCGCAGAUAUCAGGAGGAACACCGGUGGCGAAGGCGGGUCUCUGGGCAGUAACUGACGCUGAGGAGCGAAAGCGUGGGGAGCGAACAGG